rnacentral:lncRNA from 1 species
GUGUGUAAUGCAUCUUUAUUACUCUCCAAUGGCAGCGUGGUGGGAGUCAGCUCUGUGUGUAUCUGUGGGGUCAGCCGAGCGGUGAUAGCACUCCCACAUGUGUCCAGGUUCACAGCACAGGGCAGAUUAGGCCGGCCCACACAGGAAUACUGGGUAAACUAGUCUAACAUUUAUUGGGGUUGUAGUGGAAUGUGCCGGGUCACGCUGGGGAGAAGAUGCGCUUCCUCGGUCAUAUUAGGUCGACAGAUUCAAGCUCUACAUUCCACCAGGAGGACCAUCUUGGGCUUGUAUCAUUGUUAGCAGAACCAACGUUUGAUCCGCUCAAGUAUGGAGGGAAAGGUUUGCAACACCUCUUAAAUUUCUUGAAAUUCUAGUUUACGGUAAGUGUUGUUCACGUAUUGCCCUGUAACAUGAAUGUUGCAUGGUUCAAAUCUAAUACGAGUGAUCACUGUUGUUGUUCACUACAGAUAUUUUAGUGAAUGGUAAGCAAAAAACGGACACAUCCAGACGUGAAGCGCUGUUUAUUUGGAUCACAGAUCUGUUACGGCAGAAGGAAGCCAUUCUGUGAAUGUUGUUUUUGCCUAUUAAUAUUCAUUUAAUACAGUGGCUCUCAAAUAGUUUGGCAUUGAGACCCACUAUCAUCCUGGAAUGACAAGCCGUGACCCAAAUACGACUCAGACUUGUAAAAUAUUGUCUUUUCAUCAAAAGUAGUUGUUGAAUAAGCAUUAAAUAAGCCAGAGCUGAAAUUAUUAUUUAACUAAAAUUUAAAGCAGUACUAACUUGUUUACCUUAAUAAAUCCUUUACGGCUAACGGGCAAAGCUAACUGUGGGCUAGCGCCACUUUAGCCGUGUUUACAGCCAAGUUUGCGUGACAAAAAUUAUCUCCAUUGUGUAAUUGGGUUGUGGCACAGUGUACAAUAUCUCUCUCUCCCUUUGUCUUUUUUGUCAGCGUAGUAUUUACUCUCACGGACAAUUAAUGUGUAAAAGAAAAAGCAACAUGCUAUGACACCUGCAGUGGCGCUUAUGGCCUCUAGGGGCAUGAGUUACUUAGUUCUGCUUUAACCGACUCAAGUAGUGAUUCUAGACUUUUUCUGUACAUAAAUAUUGAUUAAUGUUUUCUGGAAAAGGCCUGCAACCCACUUUUGGGUCCCGACCAACCAGUUGAGAACCACUGAUUUAAUACAUUCAUGUUGCCACCUAAAGCCCCUGACAUUUUCAUGGCUCGUGUACUGAAGAUGCUCUCUGGGUAAGUCACCUCUCUACCAUUGUCCUCUCCAAUCACCAAAAUCUGCCAAAUAUCUUUUUCUUUAAAUAAAUAAAUACAUUUCAGCAUCACCUCCAGCCAAUGAUCUGAUGUGUCUGUGAGGGUCACACCUCCACCUCAGCCUAUCAGUGCAGAGCCACACCUUUGUAGCAGCCAAUCAUCGCCCUUGUUUCUGCUUUUAA